AGCGAACGCUGGCGGCAGGCUUAACACAUGCAAGUCGAACGGUCCUUCGGGAUAGUGGCGGACGGGUGAGUAACACGUGGGAACGUACCCUUAGGUUCGGAACAACACAGGGAAACUUGUGCUAAUACCGGAUAAGCCCUUCGGGGGAAAGAUUUAUCGCCUUUGGAGCGGCCCGCGUCUGAUUAGCUUGUUGGUGAGGUAAUGGCUCACCAAGGCUACGAUCAGGAGCUGGUCUGAGAGGAUGGCCAGCCAAACUGGGACUGAGACACGGCCCAGACUCCUACGGGAGGCAGCAGUGGGGAAUCUUGCGCAAUGGGCGAAAGCCUGACGCAGCCAUGCCGCGUGGAUGAUGAAGGGCUUAGGAUUGUAAAACCCUUUCACCGGGGACGAUAAUGACGGUACCCGGAGAAGAAGCCCCGGCUAACUUCAUGCCAGCCGCCGCCGUAA
rnacentral:rRNA from 1 species